GGUUUAGCAGCGAGCGAUUCAAGGACGUGAGUGAGAGAAGCCCGGAGUGUGCUC
rnacentral:rRNA from 1 species